CCAAAGGAGUUUAUAAACUCCAUUAAAGGAAAUUCUAAAAGUUGU
rfam:Mustela putorius furo unplaced genomic scaffold scaffold00184, whole genome shotgun sequence.